AGCUGAUCCAAUCAUUGCACACUGGACAGGACCCACAUGUGACUCAUCAGUCAGGAAAAAUUCCAAUUUGAAGAGGGAGCAACUGAAGAAAACAGAAAGAUUUCCAUGACACGAGUUGUGCAUAUUUACACCUGGAACCAAUGUCCUACCUGUCCAGAGAACCACUUCAAGAAACAACUUCCACAGCGACUUGAGUCACGUGUCUGUGCUUCGAUGUAUUUGAGACAAACAUCCUUGACUUUGAUGGCACUCACCAUCUCAAGACACAAACAGAAAGCCAUGACCAGCCUCAAGUGACACAGUAAAGGCAAAAAAUGAAAACGUGGAAUGAAAUGUAGAAAAGAUGAGGAAGUAAUACCAGACACAAUGAGCAGCCAGUUUGAAAAGAAGAUAAUAGGUUAUUUAUCACCAAAUUCAAGUGUCUCCAUUUUUAUAAAUUGCAAGCAGAAAGCCUUGCUCUGCAACUGGGCUGUAGCCAUGGAAACCCACUAUCUGUAUCCUAUGGAAAGAGAUUAUUCUUUCAUUUUUGCCUUCAGUUAAUUGUGUCAUACAGCCAUUCUGAUUACACAAAAUUGCUGUAGAAAUCUAGUCAUUAAAGUUUAAUUAGCAUUAACAGCUGUAUAAUACAAUUUCACCACGCACAUUCUUUCUAUGUGUCUAUCCAUAUGUCUCCAAGUGUUCUGUGAGUACAACAUUUUCAUUAAAGGGCAAUG